rnacentral:rRNA from 1 species
GAUGAACGCUAGCGGCAGGCCUAAUACAUGCAAGGCGAAGGGGCAGCAAUGUCACUGUCGUACGGGUGCGUAACGCGUAUGCAACCUACCUAUCACAGGGGAAUAGCCUUUGGAAACAGGGAUUAAUACCGCAUAAAGCAGGGACACCGCAUGGUGAUAUUGCUAAAGAUUUAUCGGUGAUAGAUGGGCAUGCGUCUGAUUAGUUAGUUGGCAGGGUAACGGCCUACCAAGACGAUGAUCAGUAGGGGGCGUCAGAGCGUGGUCCCCCACACUGGCACUGAGAUACGGGCCAGACUCCUACGGGAGGCAGCAGUAGGGAAUAUUGGGCAAUGGAUGCAAGUCUGACCCAGCCAUGCCGCGUGCAGGAAGAAGGUCCUCUGGAUUGUAAACUGCUUUUAUCGGGGAAGAAUAGUUUCUUGCGAGGGAAUGUGACGGUACCCGAUGAAUAAGCCACGGCUAACUACGUGCCAGCAGCCG